GGAGAGAUGGCAGAGUGGUCGAUUGCACUGGUCUUGAAAACCAGCGACGGGCAACCGUCCGUGGGUUCGAAUCCCACUCUCUCCGCCA
rnacentral:tRNA from 1 species